CAAUAAUUUUCUGCAGUAAGUGUGAUGGUGGAGAGGAUGUAUAAUGAGUAUCUUGUCUGAAAGUACUUGAUGAAAGUAGGUGGAGGAAAAUAGUAUCAAAUGAUUUAUAAUUUUUUGAUAUUGACGUGAAAUUGAUUUCAAAUAUAGAUGAAUGGCUAAAAAGGAUUCAUAUAGCCAACUAAAACUAGUUUAAGAUUAAGGCUCAGUUG
rnacentral:misc_RNA from 1 species